rnacentral:tRNA from 1 species
UCCCUGGUGGUCUAGUGGUUAAGACUCUGUCUUGCAAUGCAGGGGACACAGGUUUGAUCCCUGGUAGGGGAA